GGGUUGUGAGGUUAAGCGACUAAGCGUACACGGUGGAUGCCCUGGCAGUCAGAGGCGAUGAAGGACGUGCUAAUCUGCGAUAAGCGUCGGUAAGGUGAUAUGAACCGUUAUAACCGGCGAUUUCCGAAUGGGGAAACCCAGUGUGAUUCGUCACACUAUCAUUAACUGAAUCCAUAGGUUAAUGAGGCGAACCGGGGGAACUGAAACAUCUAAGUACCCCGAGGAAAAGAAAUCAACCGAGAUUCCCCCAGUAGCGGCGAGCGAACGGGGAGCAGCCCAGAGCCUGAAUCAGUGUGUGUGUUAGUGGAAGCGUCUGGAAAGGCGCGCGAUACAGGGUGACAGCCCCGUACACAAAAAUGCACAUGCUGUGAGCUCGAUGAGUAGGGCGGGACACGUGGUAUCCUGUCUGAAUAUGGGGGGACCAUCCUCCAAGGCUAAAUACUCCUGACUGACCGAUAGUGAACCAGUACCGUGAGGGAAAGGCGAAAAGAACCCCGGCGAGGGGAGUGAAAAAGAACCUGAAACCGUGUACGUACAAGCAGUGGGAGCCUCUUUUAUGGGGUGACUGCGUACCUUUUGUAUAAUGGGUCAGCGACUUAUAUUCUGUAGCAAGGUUAACCGAAUAGGGGAGCCGAAGGGAAACCGAGUCUUAACUGGGCGUUAAGUUGCAGGGUAUAGACCCGAAACCCGGUGAUCUAGCCAUGGGCAGGUUGAAGGUUGGGUAACACUAACUGGAGGACCGAACCGACUAAUGUUGAAAAAUUAGCGGAUGACUUGUGGCUGGGGGUGAAAGGCCAAUCAAACCGGGAGAUAGCUGGUUCUCCCCGAAAGCUAUUUAGGUAGCGCCUCGUGAACUCAUCUCCGGGGGUAGAGCACUGUUUCGGCAAGGGGGUCAUCCCGACUUACCAACCCGAUGCAAACUGCGAAUACCGGAGAAUGUUAUCACGGGAGACACACGGCGGGUGCUAACGUCCGUCGUGAAGAGGGAAACAACCCAGACCGCCAGCUAAGGUCCCAAAGUCAUGGUUAAGUGGGAAACGAUGUGGGAAGGCCCAGACAGCCAGGAUGUUGGCUUAGAAGCAGCCAUCAUUUAAAGAAAGCGUAAUAGCUCACUGGUCGAGUCGGCCUGCGCGGAAGAUGUAACGGGGCUAAACCAUGCACCGAAGCUGCGGCAGCGACACUAUGUGUUGUUGGGUAGGGGAGCGUUCUGUAAGCCUGUGAAGGUGUGCUGUGAGGUAUGCUGGAGGUAUCAGAAGUGCGAAUGCUGACAUAAGUAACGAUAAAGCGGGUGAAAAGCCCGCUCGCCGGAAGACCAAGGGUUCCUGUCCAACGUUAAUCGGGGCAGGGUGAGUCGACCCCUAAGGCGAGGCCGAAAGGCGUAGUCGAUGGGAAACAGGUUAAUAUUCCUGUACUUGGUGUUACUGCGAAGGGGGGACGGAGAAGGCUAUGUUGGCCGGGCGACGGUUGUCCCGGUUUAAGCGUGUAGGCUGGUUUUCCAGGCAAAUCCGGAAAAUCAAGGCUGAGGCGUGAUGACGAGGCACUACGGUGCUGAAGCAACAAAUGCCCUGCUUCCAGGAAAAGCCUCUAAGCAUCAGGUAACAUCAAAUCGUACCCCAAACCGACACAGGUGGUCAGGUAGAGAAUACCAAGGCGCUUGAGAGAACUCGGGUGAAGGAACUAGGCAAAAUGGUGCCGUAACUUCGGGAGAAGGCACGCUGAUAUGUAGGUGAAGUCCCUUGCGGAUGGAGCUGAAAUCAGUCGAAGAUACCAGCUGGCUGCAACUGUUUAUUAAAAACACAGCACUGUGCAAACACGAAAGUGGACGUAUACGGUGUGACGCCUGCCCGGUGCCGGAAGGUUAAUUGAUGGGGUCAGCGCAAGCGAAGCUCUUGAUCGAAGCCCCGGUAAACGGCGGCCGUAACUAUAACGGUCCUAAGGUAGCGAAAUUCCUUGUCGGGUAAGUUCCGACCUGCACGAAUGGCGUAAUGAUGGCCAGGCUGUCUCCACCCGAGACUCAGUGAAAUUGAACUCGCUGUGAAGAUGCAGUGUACCCGCGGCAAGACGGAAAGACCCCGUGAACCUUUACUAUAGCUUGACACUGAACAUUGAGCCUUGAUGUGUAGGAUAGGUGGGAGGCUUAGAAGUGUGGACGCCAGUCUGCAUGGAGCCGACCUUGAAAUACCACCCUUUAAUGUUUGAUGUUCUAACGUUGACCCGUAAUCCGGGUUGCGGACAGUGUCUGGUGGGUAGUUUGACUGGGGCGGUCUCCUCCUAAAGAGUAACGGAGGAGCACGAAGGUUGGCUAAUCCUGGUCGGACAUCAGGAGGUUAGUGCAAUGGCAUAAGCCAGCUUGACUGCGAGCGUGACGGCGCGAGCAGGUGCGAAAGCAGGUCAUAGUGAUCCGGUGGUUCUGAAUGGAAGGGCCAUCGCUCAACGGAUAAAAGGUACUCCGGGGAUAACAGGCUGAUACCGCCCAAGAGUUCAUAUCGACGGCGGUGUUUGGCACCUCGAUGUCGGCUCAUCACAUCCUGGGGCUGAAGUAGGUCCCAAGGGUAUGGCUGUUCGCCAUUUAAAGUGGUACGCGAGCUGGGUUUAGAACGUCGUGAGACAGUUCGGUCCCUAUCUGCCGUGGGCGCUGGAGAACUGAGGGGGGCUGCUCCUAGUACGAGAGGACCGGAGUGGACGCAUCACUGGUGUUCGGGUUGUCAUGCCAAUGGCACUGCCCGGUAGCUAAAUGCGGAAGAGAUAAGUGCUGAAAGCAUCUAAGCACGAAACUUGCCCCGAGAUGAGUUCUCCCUGACCCUUUAAGGGUCCUGAAGGAACGUUGAAGACGACGACGUUGAUAGGCCGGGUGUGUAAGCGCAGCGAUGCGUUGAGCUAACCGGUACUAAUGAACCGUGAGGCUUAACCUUACAACGCCGAAGCUGUU
rnacentral:rRNA from 2 species